rnacentral:tRNA from 1 species
CGCGGAGUAGUGUAGUUGGAAACACGGGGGGCUCAUGACCCCCAAUCGGUGGUUCAAGCCCAUCCUCCGCGA